UCAAACAAGCCUCAAUGCGGCACAGGACAAGAUUUGAUUGCGACUUCGGGUUCAUGCUGUUAUUCUCGGUGUCAGAAAGCCUGCUUGAUGGACUAGGAACUAAAGUUCGUUGCAUGUUUCUAGGGGGGACGUUUAGUUUAUGGGACCUGCUGUUAUGUUCUCCAUCAUUGCUAGCUCCUGCUGAUGUUGUUUUCUGUAAUGCGUUCAUCUUAUACAAGUAAGUUUUAAUCUGAAACAUCUAAUACUUAUGUAACAUGCAUGCUGAUACUAAUUUGAGGUCUAUAUCGCCUAUAAUGUUCCGCUAUAGCGGUUAUUUGCGGCCGCGAUUGCCGCGAUAAUUCUGCUGAGUCAUCCCCAUUAAGCCAGAGCUAUAAAUAGCCGUUAUGGACGUCCGAUCAGCGUGCUUGCUCAUAUGAACGGACAUUUUUUAGACUGUUGUUGCUAAUUAGACUGUCACAUUCCUAACAGACAUUACUGUUAUUAUGUUUGAGUUUAAUAUGCACAUUUAUGAUGAAUGUUAUUGUUGCAGUGUAUUGUUUUAGUCAAUGUUAAUGACAAUUCAUAGUCAAUACUAUUUGUAAUUAUUUCUUUAUUUGUUUUUCCUUUGUAGACCAUUACAUCUUAUUCAUUUCUCACUACCAUUACCCAUAAUUGAGCAAUCUGAUGAUUAUGUUGAAGAAAAUAAAUAUUUCAAACGUCAACACUUCUCCUGCCCUCCUGAUUCUCUGACCGGAAUCUGGUCCAUAUUUGGCCGCCUCAACCAGUGGAAAAUUUACAUGUAGUAAGGUUUACUACAUUAUUAUGGUCCUUCGAGCCGGAUUGAGAGCAAUAUAAAACCAGUAUGGACCGAACAGGAAGUGACACUGAGAAAAUGGACAGACCCCACCGCAGGACACAUCUGCCACCUCACCUGGAUGAUUAUGAAGUUGAUUACCAACCUAUACAGGACCCUCCCCCAAAAGCUUCUACAACCUGUCCCAGUCAUUCUAGAAGCAGCUCGAGGAAAACGUCCCGCAGUGGUAUCAGCUCUCAUUCUAGGACGAGUAGACGUUCUGUUACCUCCACUGGUGUUUAUCUCCCACCAGAACUCUCUAGUGUCCAGACAGCUGUUUUGGAGGAGAAGAUUAAGCAGAGACAGUUUGAUAGUCUACAGCAGCAGGUACAGGAGGACUCACUAGCUGAUGUGGAAUAUCAGCGCCUGCAGACACAAGCAAAGGAAGCUCAGCGUAUUCAGGAGGAGGCUCUUGCAGCUAAGGAAGCUUUGUCCAAGCAUCUAGAGAGACAGCGGAAACUACAACAGGCAGAGACUGAGCUUGAGGUAGCCAAACUUGUAUCUUCAAUGCUUAUUACAAACUCUGGUUCAAACACUCCCAGGCCUUCAGGCUCACCAGACAGCCCAUCACCGCCACCUCAACCUGAUCAUACUAAUGCAUCCAGGAGUCCACAGUCUACCUCCUCUUCUCAGCUUCCACCUCCGCUACCAACAGUCACAUCAUGUGAUGACAUUUCACAGCUGUCACUUAGACCACUGGCGCUAACAUUACCUACCACCACAGUGAGUGUUUCCUCUCCUUCAACAUUCCCGUUAUUACAAGCAGUCUUAUCAUCAGUCGUUACAGUAUCUGAGACUGCCCCUAAAACUAUGCCAUUAAACACAGUGACAUCAGCUCCACAUGUGACACAUCAGCCUUUCUCUGUAGCGACAGUUAUGUCCACUAUUGGCCAGUCUAUGAGUAGAAGAGGGCCAUCUGUACCAAAGCAGUCUAACACUGCCCCACUGACAAUGAAUAUGAAUCCAUAUGUGAUGCAGCAGUCAUUCAUACCUCCAGUGAGCACACACGGAUAUCAGCAGCAACCUCCAAUCACCAGCCAGCAGGCCUCAGCUCCGCCACCUAAUGUCAGAUCUGCUCAGCCACAUUCAUUCAUGCCUCUUCCCCACACAUACCCUGGUACAGAGCUACUGUUUGCCUCAGCUUAUGGCAUACCACAACCCAAGCUACCAGUAUUUGAGAGUGGUAAUGAAAGUGACUUUGCCUUGUUAAAACUGGCCCUAGAUAAUUUGCUAAGUAAUCACAGCUAUCUUAGUGAGCAGUAUAAAUAUCAUGUACUGUUAAGUCAUUUGAAGCUACCCAGCGCACAGCAGCUAGCGAAAGCUUAUAUGUAUCAUUCACAUCCAUACUCAGCUGCACUACAAGCACUUCAGGACAAGUACGGACAGCCAAGACAACUCGUACAGUCAGAGCUGGGUGCCAUCAUGAAUAGCCCACCACUUAGACUGGGUGAUGCUAAUGCCUUUGACAGCUUCGCAUUAUCAGUACAGUCAUUAGUAGGCAUGUUGAGGACCCUUGAAGGUCAAAAUGGGUACGAGUUAAUGUGUGGCUCUCAUGUGGAUCGACUACUCAGCAAGUUACCACCUGCCUAUCGUGACAGCUUCGUUGAGUACUGUCUAAGCCGGGGUAUCCUCCAGACAGGCACAGACAGAACCUAUACACUCCCCGAUCUGGCCACCUGGUUAGAGAUUAAGUCCCAGGCGAAGCGAAUUUCCAACCGAGCUGCAGCUUUGUUCCCGAGUGACCUAGCCAAGCCUCAAGGUAAACCCACAACAUAUUCCCGACCAAAGGAGCGAUUCACACCUGUCUUGUUGACCAGUGAGAGGAGCAUAAACCGUCCUGAUACUGCAGCACAGAGAUCUAGCACAAAGGUUAAGCCCAGGCCAUAUUGUCCCCAUUGUGAUAGCCGAGACCAUUACCUGAAUGCAUGUGAACAGUUUAAGAAACUAACUACAGCUCAAGUUACCACCUGGAUAAGAGAAGGAAAGCGCUGCUGGAGGUGUGGUCGAACUCAUGACGUGGGGGUCUGCAACCUUAAGCGCCUAUGCAGUGUCUGCAAAGAGUUACAUCUUACAGUUCUACAUGAUUCAGUUCAAGACACUUCUAGAGCUGUUCUCAUGGUCAGUUUGCCACCUACAAGAAUUUAUCUGGAUCGACCCAACCGUUCCCCUAAGGUCAUGCUGAAAGUUGUUAAAGUCCUGCUACACAGUGGUCGAAAAACUAUGGAAACCCAUGCCGUUCUCGAUGAUGGAUCAGAGAGAACUCUAGUGCUCCAGCCAGUUGUGCAACAGCUUCAAUUAUCUGGUACCCCUGAACUGCUCUCGCUGCAGACCAUUCACCAGUGUCACACUGAACUUAUAGGAUCAUCUGUGUCUUUUGAGGUGUCAUCUGUAUCCAAUCCCUCAAAGAAGUUUGCGAUACACAACGCAUUCACUGCCCCAGGUCUGUGUCUAGCGGAACACCAUUACCCAGUGGCUGCUCUGCAAAGGGCUUAUAGACACCUAAAAGAUUUGCCACUGCCUCCCAUGGAUAAAGUGAGACCACUGCUCCUCAUUGGGUCCGACAUGCCGCAUCUCCUGACACCAGUUCAGCCUGUAUGCAAGGGCCCACCAGGGGGACCCAUCGCUGUUCGUACACAACUUGGAUGGUCUCUCCAAGGCCCAAUGAGCCCGAUGCAGCCCUCAAGAGGAAGUCAGCAGUGUCUUCAUAUUAUGUCAGUUCCCACCUGUGAUAACCUGUUUCAACAUGUGGAGAGACUCUGGCAGGUGGACACACUCCCAUACAACACCAAGAUGGUUACCAGGUCCAAACAGGACAAGGAGGCUUACACUUUGCUGCAGAAUGCAACCGUCAGAGUGACUGUGGACUGUGUACGACGAUAUGCUACACCAUUACUGAGACGGACCCCCCGAACCUUGCUCCAAGCAGAUAAGACAGCUGUUCUCCCAAGUUUACGUCGUACUGAGCGUACCCUUGAAAGGGAUCCUGAUAGGGCCAAAAUCUACUGCAGUGAGAUUUCUAAAUUGGAGUCAGCUGGUUAUGUGGCAAAAAUAACGGCAGAGGAAGCAAACCAAAGUGAAGAGUCCUGGUUCAUUCCGCACCACAUGGUGCACCAUAAUGGUAAAGACAGAAUUGUCUUCAACUGCUCUUUCCAACACCAUGGACAGUCUUUGAAUGAUCAGCUGCUGCCGGGGCCCACGUUGGGACCAUCCUUAUUAGGUGUCCUCCUGAGAUUCCGCCAGCACACAGUUGCUAUCAGUGGGGACAUCAAAGGUAUGUUCCACCAGGUCCGUUUGUUGCCAGGAGACAAAUCUGUACUACGUUUCCUCUGGAGAGGAAUGUGCAGAGAAGUAGAACCUGAAAUAUAUGAAUGGCAGGUGCUUCCAUUUGGCACAACGUGCAGUCCCUGUUGUGCCAUUCAUGCCCUCCAACACCACGUCCAAGAGCACAAAGAAGGUAAAACUGAAUUGGUGGAUAUUGUGGAACAUUCCUUUUAUGUUGACAACUGCCUUCAUAGUGUACCAACGGCGAGUGAGGCUAAAGUGAUAGUAGAUGGAUUACGCCAGCUCCUUUCUGAAGGUGGCUUUGAAAUUAGACAGUGGGCAUGCAAUGUACCAUCCGUAACUGAACACCUACCUUCAGAUGCCAGGUCCGCAAGUAGCGAGCGCUGGUUAGCACAAAGCAGCACUGAUCUUCAGGAGCCCACUCUUGGGUUGCGGUGGGAUUGCAUCAAUGACACCUUGGGGUACAACUUGCGUUCUGUGGAGAAUGUUGAACCUACCCUGAGGAACAUGUAUAAAACUUUGGCGAGUCAAUACGACCCUUUAGGGUUCAUUACACCAUUCACUACUAGAGCCAAGGUUAUCAUCCAGGACCUCUGGAAGCACAACCUUGGUUGGGAUGACCCCAUAGAGCCAUCACAUUUGAGAGAUACUUGGCUUUCCUGGGUAGAGGAACUCCCUACACUUACCAAGAUACAUUUCCCUCGGGCAUAUACCCCAGCCGCUGCUGACAACCCAUCGGCUAUACGAGAGCUUCAUGUCUUCAGUGAUGCAUCGGAAAGAGCCUAUGGUUCAGUGGCCUAUCUACGCACCACCGAUGAGCAAGGACAAAUCCAUAUUACCUUUGUCUCGGCCAGGUCUAGAGUCGCGCCUCGCAAAUGCCUAUCUGUACCACGUUUGGAGUUAUGUGCUGCCCUUACUGGGGCCCAAUUGGGGAAAGUAAUCCAAACUGAGUUGACGCUACCAAUCCACAAGGUCACUUUCUGGUCUGAUUCUACAACAGUGUUGUAUUGGUUAACAUCCGAAUCCUGCCACUACAAAGUGUUUGUAGGGACACGGGUGGCAGAAAUACAGACUUUAACAGAGAUGGCUGAGUGGAAGUAUGUUGAGUCACAUCACAACCCUGCUGACCACAUCACACGAGGCCUUACCCUAACAGAGAUAGCAGGCCCCCAUCAAUGGAGCUCAGGUCCAGCCUUCCUGAUCCAGUCACCUGAUCAAUGGCCAUCAAUGCCCCAAACUAAAGCUGAACCUGAUUGCAAUGAGCUGAAGAAAUCAGCCUUUAUCGGAACUGCUUCAUCACCCAGUGUUUCUCUACCAGUUCCAGGCAACUUCCACACAUGGCAAGAGCUUGUUAAAGCCACUAGUAAAUCCCUACAUGGGGCGGCUGCCGACACAGACUCCUCUAUAAAGGCCUCCGAGUAUAUUGAAGCAGAAAAGUUACUUCUGGCACAGGCUCAGAUGGACUCCUUCCCUAUGGAAGUUCAACAUCUAAAGGCUGGACAUCCUGUUUCACCAAACAGUCGCUUAGGUUCACUUGCUCCAGAAUAUGAUGAUGCUACUGGUCUCAUUAGAGUGGGAGGGCGACUACGACGUGCCACUGAUCUCGACUUGGAGGCCAUACACCCAAUCAUAUUAGACCCUAGCCAUCAUAUUACAAAAUUGUUGAUCAAAGAAACGGACCAACAACUCCUUCACCCUGGCUCAGAGAGGGUUCUGGCAGAAUUGCGCCGCCAGUAUUGGAUCCUUCGAGGUCGACAAGCAGUUCGUAAGCAUCAGCAUACCUGUCAAGAUUGUCAGAUAUGGCGAGCCAAACCUCAAACUCCACGAAUGGCAGAUCUCCCCCCCUGCAGAUUAAAUCUGUAUAAGCCACCUUUUUAUUCUACGGGUGUGGACUGCUUUGGACCAUAUGCAGUCAAGAUUGGACGCCGACAGGAGAAAAGAUGGGGGAUCAUUUACAAAUGUCUAACAACACGUUGUGUACAUCUGGAUCUGUUGGAGCAUAUGGACAGUGAUGCUUUCCUUCUUUCCCUGCGCCGUUUUAUAGCCCGACGAGGCAAACCUAUGGAGCUAUUGUGCGAUAAUGGCACCAACUUUAUCGGAGGUGAUCGAGAGUUACGUGAAUCCUUUGAGGCCAUGUCACCAAAGCUACAGGAACAGUUGGCAGAGCAGAAAAUCAGUUUUCGCCAUAACCCCCCAAACGCUCCUCACUUCGGAGGGACUUGGGAGCGUGAGAUAAAAUCAGUUAAGACAGCACUCCAAGUAAUCCUCAGAGAGCAGUCAGUGCCAGAACCAGUUCUGCAAACCCUUCUGGUGGAGGUGGAAAACAUUCUAAACUCCAAACCACUCGGAUACGUAUCUUCAGAUAUCGCGGAUGUAGACCCUGUGACUCCUAACCUACUGCUCAUGGGUCGCCGAGAUGCCUCGUUACCCCAGGUCUUGUAUGAUUCUAGUAACCUGCUUGGAAGACGAAGGUGGAGGCAUAGUCAGGUGCUAGCAGAUUGUUUCUGGACUACCUUUAUCCGUCAAUACCUACCAAGCAUGCAAGGCCGUCAAAAGUGGACAACUGAUGGGAAGGAACUGGCAGUAGGACAAGUUGUACUUGUGAUAGAUCCACAGCUUCCACGUUCCCAUUGGCCUGUUGGAACUGUAACAGAGGCUUUACCUGGAGCUGAUGGCCGCAUUCGAGUGGUCAGAAUCAAGGUUAAGGACAAAACAUACACCCGUCCAGUCGUGCGACUGAUCCCACUUCCUCCUCUUGAGGACAAUGACACGAGCACCCCUGACAGACUUUCUUAAGGUUCAAUUAUCUCGUCAGAUAAUUGGGGGCGGCUGUGUCAGAAAGCCUGCUUGAUGGACUAGGAACUAAAGUUCGUUGCAUGUUUCUAGGGGGGACGUUUAGUUUAUGGGACCUGCUGUUAUGUUCUCCAUCAUUGCUAGCUCCUGCUGAUGUUGUUUUCUGUAAUGCGUUCAUCUUAUACAAACCAUUACAUCUUAUUCAUUUCUCACUACCAUUACCCAUAAUUGAGCAAUCUGAUGAUUAUGUUGAAGAAAAUAAAUAUUUCAAACGUCAACACUUCUCCUGCCCUCCUGAUUCUCUGACCGGAAUCUGGUCCAUAUUUGGCCGCCUCAACCAGUGGAAAAUUUACAUGUAGUAAGGUUUACUACAC